AUUGAACGCUGGCGGAAUGCUUUACACAUGCAAGUCGAGCGGCAGCGCGGGGGCAACCCUGGCGGCGAGCGGCGAACGGGUGAGUAACAUAUCGGAACGUACCCCGUCGUGGGGGAUAACACAGCGAAAGCUGUGCUAAUACCGCAUACGACCUGAGGGUGAAAGCGGGGGAUCGCAAGACCUCGCGCGAUGGGAGCGGCCGAUAUCGGAUUAGCUUGUUGGUGAGGUAAAGGCUCACCAAGGCGACGAUCCGUAGCUGGUCUGAGAGGACGACCAGCCACACUGGAACUGAGACACGGUCCAGACUCCUACGGGAGGCAGCAGUGGGGAAUUUUGGACAAUGGGGGCAACCCUGAUCCAGCCAUUCCGCGUGAGUGAAGAAGGCCUCGGGUUGUAAAGGACUCUUUCUAGCAGGACGAAACGGU
rnacentral:rRNA from 1 species